GAUGAACGCUGGCGGCGUGCCUAAUACAUGCAAGUCGAGCGAACAGACGAGGAGCUUGCUCCUCUGACGUUAGCGGCGGACGGGUGAGUAACACGUGGAUAACCUACCUAUAAGACUGGGAUAACUUCGGGAAACCGGAGCUAAUACCGGAUAAUAUAUUGAACCGCAUGGUUCAAUAGUGAAAGACGGUUUUGCUGUCACUUAUAGAUGGAUCCGCGCCGCAUUAGCUAGUUGGUAAGGUAACGGCUUACCAAGGCAACGAUGCGUAGCCGACCUGAGAGGGUGAUCGGCCACACUGGAACUGAGACACGGACCAGACUCCUACGGGAGGCAGCAGUAGGGAAUCUUCCGCAAUGGGCGAAAGCCUGACGGAGCAACGCCGCGUGAGUGAUGAAGGUCUUCGGAUCGUAAAACUCUGUUAUUAGGGAAGAACAAAUGUGUAAGUAACUAUGCACGUCGUGACGGUACCUAAUCAGAAAGCCACGGCUAACUACGUG
rnacentral:rRNA from 1 species